rnacentral:rRNA from 1 species
UCCUACGGGAGGCAGCAGUGGGGAAUCUUGCACAAUGGGCGAAAGCCUGAUGCAGCCAUGCCGCGUGAAUGAUGAAGGCCUUAGGGUUGUAAAAUUCUUUCGCUAGGGAUGAUAAUGACAGUACCUAGUAAAGAAGCCCCGGCUAACUUCGUGCCAGCAGCCGCGGUAAUACGAAGGGGGCUAGCGUUGUUCGGAAUUACUGGGCGUAAAGCGCACGUAGGCGGACUUUUAAGUCAGAUGUGAAAUCCCGGGGCUCAACCUCGGAACUGCAUUUGAAACUGGAAGUCUAGAGACCAGGAGAGGUUAGCGGAAUACCGAGUGUAGAGGUGAAAUUCGUAGAUAUUCGGUGGAACACCAGUGGCGAAGGCGGCUAACUGGACUGGUACUGACGCUGAGGUGCGAAAGUGUGGGGAGCAAACAGGAUUAGAUACCCUGGUAGUCCACACC